GGAUCCGUGGCGCAAUGGUAGCGCGUUUGACUCCCAACCAAAGGGUUGGUUGCGUGUUCGAUUCACGUUGGGUUCA